AUUGAACGCUGGCGGCAGGCCUAACACAUGCAAGUCGAACGAAUGGAGGACGGGUGAGUAAUGUCUGGGAACCUGCCUGAUGGAGGGGGAUAACUACUGGAAACGGUAGCUACUACCGCAUAACAUCAGAUGUGCCCAGAUGGGAUUAGCUUGUUGGUGGGGUAACGGCUCACCAAGGCGAAGAUCCCUAGCUGGUCUGAGAGGAUGACCAGCCACACUGGAACUGAGACACGGUCCAGACUCCUACGGGAGGCAGCAGUGGGGAAUAUUGCACAAUGGGCGCAAGCCUGAUGCAGCCAUGCCGCGUGUAUGAAGAAGGCCUUCGGGUUGUAAAAUACUUUCAUCGGGGAGGCGUUACCCAAACAAGAAGCACCGGCUAACUCCGUGCCAGCAGCCGCGGUAAUUC
rnacentral:rRNA from 1 species